GGCAGAGGGAGAGGGAGAAGCAGGCUCCCCGCGGAGCAGGGAGCCCGAUGCGGAGCUCGAUCCCAGAACCCUGGGAUCAUGACCUGAGCCACCCAGGCGCCCUGAGCCUGUUUUAUUUUAAUCCAUGAGAAGGCAGUAGUAAUUUUUAGCAUUUUUACUUUUCACCAUAAGGAAGAAAAUCAGUACAGGGAGCUUUCACUAGCUCGUCUCAAAUACUCCAGGCAAGCCUGUAAUGACUGUGGCUACCCACGGUUCAGAGGUGGCCUAACUGCGGCAGAGAAAGGUUAAGGGCCUCGCCUGACAUUGAGCAGCGGGGCAAUGGCAGAGCCAGAACCCAACCCUGCCUCAAAUCCGCCUGAUUUCCCAUUUGAAUUUUAAAAUAAUAUAAGCAAGAUGUUAUAGUUUUUUGGAUUUAGAAAUCGUUUAAAGUAAGAUUAUUGUUUUCCUGUAUGAAGUUCAAGCUGGACCUCCGACAAGAAGAAGGAAUCGGGAGAACUUGGAAAGGCUUGGGAAGGACGCGGCCAAAACGAACAAGAGCUCGGGGAGAGGCAAGAAAACUCUGCCUGACAGGGAAAAAUUAAAGAAUUUUUUCACUAGAUGUGGGUGGGAGACCCCCAAACACACUACCAAGGAGGCAAAGCCUCUUUCGUUGCAGACCUUGAAAAGAAUGUUCAAGGGCCAGAGUUUUGAAUGAGCGGAUUGCAGAACCGUCGUCGUUCUAGAGGCUAAAAUGACUUCCCCACCCAUGGCAAGUCUGACCAACACCCAGAGGAUUCCAGCGACGUGGCUAAGCCACCAGGAAGACCAGGAAGAGAUUUUUCAAUAUCAUUCGAGGCUUUGUGGGAGAGUGAAUGUCGAGCCCGUAAUAGAUGCUUUCUGAUCCUCCUCACACUGCAUCUGGCUCUCCUAAGUAUUGGUCUUAUUACGUUUUUAAAAAUAGCUCUGAAGUAAUUUGUGUGCUGAACUGGCUACAGGAUAAAAAAAAACCUACCUGAAUAAAUUCUACUUGUUCCUAUCAGCCAGAGACCAGGAUCGGCAGCCAGUUUCCUCGGAGCUAAUUUUCAGCAUUAGGGUUUAUCAGAACCUAAAUUC